ACUGAGCAUGGGGUGGUGUGAGGGCAAGAAUCCACAUCACAUUGGGCUUUGGAAGACAGGAUUGCACAGCAUGGAAGUGAUCUCCAAGAGCCUUCUAUCUUCAGUUCAGCUGCCCCACCUCUUGAGAUUUGUCCCCACCUCACAGAGGUAUACAGGGUAGGGGAGAAUCUGGUUCUAGAGGCCCUAGUGUAGCAUCACCAGUUCCCUUUUUCAGAUAAAUGUCCAGAUCAGGGGAAACCUGCUGUUUCUGGAGGUUCUCAUUCUCACUGCUUAUUCCAUGUGUAGCUGAGACUGAGUCAUAAGGGAAGGGUUCAUCCCUGGGAAGAGGGUCUGUUUAUUGGGUGAUAAAUGUUGGAAAAAAUAUAAGAUGGCCAUAAAUUGAAAAAAGAACCCAAUAACUCAAUUAUUCUUCCACCUGGCUAGCCUUAAAUCUUUCUCUCUUUUUCUUGAAUAGAAUACUAUACUAGGUAUUCUCCUUACCUGGACUAUCUUUGGGAUAUUAUAUGAGGCUCAGUGCAUUGAUAUUCCGUUGGAGAGCGAUAUGGAAGAUCUAAGAAAUGAUUGCAGAAAUCGUAAUCAUGACUUUAAUGAAUGGGACACUUCCUGGAUUACUGAUGACUGUGAAAUGUGUCAUUGUUCCCCGAAAGGAAUAGAUUGCACUAGCGUUAUUUUAAGGCCUAUGGGAUAUGACAAAAAGAAAUGCAAGGAAGUUUUCAAUGCAGAAGAGUGUAUUUACAAAGCUGUAGAGAAAAAUAAUCCCUCUCAAAGCUGUAAAGUCUCAAAAUAUAUUAUUUAGUCCUUCUACCUCCUUCUGUUUUUGCUGCCAAAGUCACCAUCUCCUAAUGGAACUUGUGCUCACAUGAAAUAAUGACUCUCUACUUGGAAGUCGGAACAGAAGACUGUGAGCUAUGUGGGCUGGACCUUGGAUUUCCAUUCUCUUGAAGGUCUUGUCAUGUCUCAGGCACUCUGAUUCAGACCACAGAGUGCCACCUCUCGGCCUCCUGAAAGUUGUAUAAGUACCUCCUGUAACCUGUUGUCUAAUGAAUAACUCAAGAAAAUAUAUGUUCCCCUAGAAUGAAAUGGAAUUCUGCUCUUUUCCCUUAUAGCAAUCGACAUCCAAAGUCAUUAUGGUGGUGGGCGAUUUCAUUAUGUUCUUUCUCAGAGGUAAUCCCUAGGAAGUACUCUUUGGGCUAUUAGACUGAAUUUUUUUUGUUUUUGUUUUUAUGUCUACUCAGCUCCCAGAUCUGUGUUUGGGAAUCCUGGCACCACAAACCUGGUAGAAUCAGGAUUCUAAAGAAUGUAGGAGAAAAUGGAAAGAGGGAUAUCAUGUUCAAGGUGGUAUAUUUACCAAUGAUGACUUUCAGUUGGGUAGCAAGACAAAAGAUAUCAUGUACGUGUAGGAAUGAUAGGAUCCUUAUGUUGUAGGGAUUGAUAGGUCCCCUACAUU